UACGUAGGUGGCAAGCGUUGUCCGGAUUUACUGGGCGUAAAGAGCGCGCAGGCGGUCGUUCAAGUCGAGUGUGAAAGCCCCCGGCUCAACUGGGGAGGGUCAUUCGAUACUGAUCGACUCGAAGGCAGGAGAGGGUAGUGGAAUUCCCGGUGUAGUGGUGAAAUGCGCAGAUAUCGGGAGGAACACCCGUAGCGAAGGCGGCACUCUGGGCCGGAACUGACGCUGAGGAGCGAAAGCGUGGGGAGCAAACAGG
rnacentral:rRNA from 1 species